GGAGCAUGUGGUUUAAUUCGAAGCAACGCGAAGAACCUUACCAGGUCUUGACAUCCUUUGACCACUCUAGAGAUAGAGCUUUCCCUUCGGGGACAAAGUGACAGGUGGUGCAUGGUUGUCGUCAGCUCGUGUCGUGAGAUGUUGGGUUAAGUCCCGCAACGAGCGCAACCCUUAUUGUUAGUUGCCAUCAUUUAGUUGGGCACUCUAGCAAGACUGCCGGUGAUAAACCGGAGGAAGGUGGGGAUGACGUCAAAUCAUCAUGCCCCUUAUGACCUGGGCUACACACGUGCUACAAUGGACGGUACAAUGAGUUGCGAGACCGCGAGGUUUAGCUAAUCUCUUAAAGCCGUUCUCAGUUCGGAUUGUAGGCUGCAACUCGCCUACNGAAGCCNGAAUCGC
rnacentral:rRNA from 1 species